rnacentral:rRNA from 2 species
AAAUUGAAGAGUUUGAUCAUGGCUCAGAUUGAACGCUGGCGGCAGGCCUAACACAUGCAAGUCGAACGGUAACAGGAAGCAGCUUGCUGCUUUGCUGACGAGUGGCGGACGGGUGAGUAAUGUCUGGGAAACUGCCUGAUGGAGGGGGAUAACUACUGGAAACGGUGGCUAAUACCGCAUAACGUCGCAAGACCAAAGAGGGGGACCUUCGGGCCUCUUGCCAUCAGAUGUGCCCAGAUGGGAUUAGCUAGUUGGUGAGGUAACGGCUCACCAAGGCGACGAUCCCUAGCUGGUCUGAGAGGAUGACCAGCCACACUGGAACUGAGACACGGUCCAGACUCCUACGGGAGGCAGCAGUGGGGAAUAUUGCACAAUGGGCGCAAGCCUGAUGCAGCCAUGCCGCGUGUAUGAAGAAGGCCUUAGGGUUGUAAAGUACUUUCAGCGGGGAGGAAGGUGUUGCGGUUAAUAACCGCAGCAAUUGACGUUACCCGCAGAAGAAGCACCGGCUAACUCCGUGCCAGCAGCCGCGGUAAUACGGAGGGUGCAAGCGUUAAUCGGAAUUACUGGGCGUAAAGCGCACGCAGGCGGUCUGUCAAGUCGGAUGUGAAAUCCCCGGGCUCAACCUGGGAACUGCAUUCGAAACUGGCAGGCUUGAGUCUUGUAGAGGGGGGUAGAAUUCCAGGUGUAGCGGUGAAAUGCGUAGAGAUCUGGAGGAAUACCGGUGGCGAAGGCGGCCCCCUGGACAAAGACUGACGCUCAGGUGCGAAAGCGUGGGGAGCAAACAGGAUUAGAUACCCUGGUAGUCCACGCCGUAAACGAUGUCUACUUGGAGGUUGUGCCCUUGAGGCGUGGCUUCCGGAGCUAACGCGUUAAGUAGACCGCCUGGGGAGUACGGCCGCAAGGUUAAAACUCAAAUGAAUUGACGGGGGCCCGCACAAGCGGUGGAGCAUGUGGUUUAAUUCGAUGCAACGCGAAGAACCUUACCUGGUCUUGACAUCCACAGAACUUUCCAGAGAUGGAUUGGUGCCUUCGGGAACUGUGAGACAGGUGCUGCAUGGCUGUCGUCAGCUCGUGUUGUGAAAUGUUGGGUUAAGUCCCGCAACGAGCGCAACCCUUAUCCUUUGUUGCCAGCGAUUAGGUCGGGAACUCAAAGGAGACUGCCAGUGAUAAACUGGAGGAAGGUGGGGAUGACGUCAAGUCAUCAUGGCCCUUACGACCAGGGCUACACACGUGCUACAAUGGCGCAUACAAAGAGAAGCGACCUCGCGAGAGCAAGCGGACCUCAUAAAGUGCGUCGUAGUCCGGAUUGGAGUCUGCAACUCGACUCCAUGAAGUCGGAAUCGCUAGUAAUCGUGGAUCAGAAUGCCACGGUGAAUACGUUCCCGGGCCUUGUACACACCGCCCGUCACACCAUGGGAGUGGGUUGCAAAAGAAGUAGGUAGCUUAACCUUCGGGAGGGCGCUUACCACUUUGUGAUUCAUGACUGGGGUGAAGUCGUAACAAGGUAACCGUAGGGGAACCUGCGGUUGGAUCACCUCCUUA